CUGUGGAUGCAAGGCCUGUGGUGAUUCACUGAGUUGAGCCAAUCCUGCAGAGGUGCCCAGCUCUGCCCAGCCCCUGCUGAUUUGCAUGUGCCCAGAGCACAGCCCACUGCCCUGAGCACUUCAUAGUCUGCUCACACCCUGUGCUGGAGUCAGUCCCAGUCAGCACACAGCAUGGACAUGAAGGUCCCUGCUCAGCUUCUGGGACUCCUGCUGCUCUUGCUCCCAGCUUUACACAGGAUCCACAGGACCAUGGAUGGAUGCUCAGAGCUCUGGUUAGAGGAUUCCCAAAAAAAGUUUCUGGAGUGAUUCAGAUGAGUGAGGACAUCAAGAAAGUGCCAUCACACACUCCUCUACAUCCUGCUUCUGUAUAGGAAAGAUGAUCACCAGGAACAUCAAGUCAAGCCAGUCUUUGAAAAAGCUCCAACCAUUCAUCUACUGAGGGGCAUCUGGGUUGGUUCCAUAUCUUAGCUAUGGUAAAUAAUGCUGCAAUAAACAUCA